rnacentral:rRNA from 1 species
GAAGCUGCGGCAGCGACACUAUGUGUUGUUGGGUAGGGGAGCGUUCUGUAAGCCUGCGAAGGUGUGCUGUGAGGCAUGCUGGAGGUAUCAGAAGUGCGAAUGCUGACAUAAGUAACGAUAAAGCGGGUGAAAAGCCCGCUCGCCGGAAGACCAAGGGUUCCUGUCCAACGUUAAUCGGGGCAGGGUGAGUCGACCCCUAAGGCGAGGCCGAAAGGCGUAGUCGAUGGGAAACAGGUUAAUAUUCCUGUACUUGGUGUUACUGCGAAGGGGGGGACGGAGAAGGCUAUGUUAGCCGGGCGACGGUUGUCCCGGUUUAAGCAUGUAGGCUGGUU